rnacentral:rRNA from 1 species
AGUGAACGCUGGCGGUAGGCCUAACACAUGCAAGUCGAACGGCAGCACAGUAAGAGCUUGCUCUUACGGGUGGCGAGUGGCGGACGGGUGAGGAAUACAUCGGAAUCUACUUUUUCGUGGGGGAUAACGUAGGGAAACUUACGCUAAUACCGCAUACGACCUACGGGUGAAAGCAGGGGAUCUUCGGACCUUGCGCGAUUGAAUGAGCCGAUGUCGGAUUAGCUAGUUUGCGGGGUAAAGGCCCACCAAGGCGACGAUCCGUAGCUGGUCUGAGAGGAUGGUCAGCCACACUGGAACUGAGACACGGUCCAGACUCCUACGGGAGGCAGCAGUGGGGAAUAUUGGACAAAGGGGGCAAGCCUGAUCCAGCCAUACCGCGUGGGUGAAGAAGGCCUUCGGGUUGUAAAGCCCUUUUGUUGGGAAAGAAAAGCAGCAGGUUAAUACCCCGCUGUUCUGACGGUACCCAAAGAAUAAGCACCGGCUAACUUCGUG